rnacentral:rRNA from 1 species
GACGAACGCUGGCGGCGUGCUUAACACAUGCAAGUCGAACGGAAAGGCCCUGCUUUUGUGGGGUGCUCGAGUGGCGAACGGGUGAGUAACACGUGAGUAACCUGCCCUUGACUUUGGGAUAACUUCAGGAAACUGGGGCUAAUACCGGAUAGGAGCUCCUGCUGCAUGGUGGGGGUUGGAAAGUUUCGGCGGUUGGGGAUGGACUCGCGGCUUAUCAGCUUGUUGGUGGGGUAGUGGCUUACCAAGGCUUUGACGGGUAGCCGGCCUGAGAGGGUGACCGGCCAAAUGGGGACUGAGAUACGGCCCAGACUCCUACGGGAGGCAGCAGUGGGGAAUAUUGCACAAUGGGCGGAAGCCUGAUGCAGAAACGCCGCGUGCGGGAUGACGGCCUUCGGGUUGUAAACCGCUUUCGCCUGUGACGAAGCGUGAGUGACGGUAAUGGGUAAAGAAGAACCGGCUAAUUACGU